rnacentral:rRNA from 1 species
AUUGAACGCUGGCGGCAGGCCUAACACAUGCAAGUCGAGCGAGAGGCGGAAGGGGGAGUAAUGUAUGGGGACUGCCCGAUAGAGGGGGAUAACUACUGGAAACGGUAGCUAAUACCGCAUACUAUCGGAUAACCCAUAGGGGAUUAGCUAGUAGGUAAGGUAAUGGCUCACCUAGGCGACGAUACCUAGCUGGUCUGAGAGGAGGAUCAGCCAAACUGGGACGGAGAAACGGCCCAGACUCCUAAGGAGGCAGCAGUGGGGAAUAUGGAACAAGGGGCGCAAGCCUGAGGCAGCCAUGCCGCGUGUAUGAAGAAGGCCCUAGGGUUGUAAAGUACUUUCAGUCGGGAGGCGUUACCGACAGAAGAAGCACCGGCUAACUCCGUGCCAGCAGCCGCGGUAAUAC